UCUGCCCACCUAGAGGCAUUGUAGAUAGGACUGCAGUGUCCUGUUUGUAAUUAGGUGGCAAAGAGAAAGACUGUCUAGCCCAGUGUUCUUUAAUUUGUGAGCACUUAGAAUGAUUAAUAGCCUUAGAGU